CCUACUGGUGGCAGCAGUGGGGGAUAUUGCACAAUGGGGGAAACCCUGAUGCAGCGACGCCGCGUGUGGGAAGACGGUCCUCUGUAUUGUAAACCACUGUCCCCAGGGACGAAGAUGACGGUACCUGGGGAGGAAGCUCCGGCCAACUACGUGCCAGCAGCCGCGGUAAGUCGGAGGGAGCGAGCGUUGUCCGGAAUUACGGGGUGUAAAGGGAGCGGAGGCGGGACUGCAAGUCGGGUGUCAAAUCUACCGGCUCAACCGGUAGCCGCACUCAAAACUGCGGGUCUCGAGUGAAGUAGAGGCAGGCGGAAUUCCUAGUGUAGCGGUGAAAUGCGUAGAUAUUAGGAGGAACACCAGUGGCGAAGGCGGCCUGCUGG
rnacentral:rRNA from 1 species